rnacentral:rRNA from 1 species
GGCGUGCCUAAUACAUGCAAGUUGAGCGCUGAAGGUUGGUACUUGUACCGACUGGAUGAGCAGCGAACGGGUGAGUAACGCGUGGGGAAUCUGCCUUUGAGCGGGGGACAACAUUUGGAAACGAAUGCUAAUACCGCAUAAAAACUUUAAACACAAGUUUUAAGUUUGAAAGAUGCAAUUGCAUCACUCAAGGAUGAUCCCGCGUUGUAUUAGCUAGUUGGUGAGGUAAAGGCUCACCAAGGCGAUGAUACAUAGCCGACCUGAGAGGGUGAUCGGCCACAUUGGGACUGAGACACGGCCCAAACUCCUACGGGAGGCAGCAGUAGGGAAUCUUCGGCAAUGGACGAAAGUCUGACCGAGCAACGCCGCGUGAGUGAAGAAGGUUUUCGGAUCGUAAAACUCUGUUGGUAGAGAAGAACGUUGGUGAGAGUGGAAAGCUCAUCAAGUGACGGUAACUACCCAGAAAGGGACGGCUAACUACGUGCCAGCAGCCGCGGUAAUACGUAGGUCCCGAGCGUUGUCCGGAUUUAUUGGGCGUAAAGCGAGCGCAGGUGGUUUAUUAAGUCUGGUGUAAAAGGCAGUGGCUCAACCAUUGUAUGCAUUGGAAACUGGUAGACUUGAGUGCAGGAGAGGAGAGUGGAAUUCCAUGUGUAGCGGUGAAAUGCGUAGAUAUAUGGAGGAACACCGGUGGCGAAAGCGGCUCUCUGGCCUGUAACUGACACUGAGGCUCGAAAGCGUGGGGAGCAAACAGGAUUAGAUACCCUGGUAGUCCACGCCGUAAACGAUGAGUGCUAGAUGUAGGGAGCUAUAAGUUCUCUGUAUCGCAGCUAACGCAAUAAGCACUCCGCCUGGGGAGUACGACCGCAAGGUUGAAACUCAAAGGAAUUGACGG